rnacentral:rRNA from 1 species
UACGUAGGGGGCAAGCGUUGUCCGGAUUUAUUGGGCGUAAAGAGCGUGUAGGCGGCUUUACAGGUCCGCUGUGAAAACUUGAGGCUCAACCUCAAGCUGUCGGUGGAAACCACAUGGCUAGAGUCCGGAAGAGGAGAGUGGAAUUCCUGGUGUAGCGGUGAAAUGCGCAGAUAUCAGGAAGAACACCAAUGGCGAAGGCAGCUCUCUGGGACGGUACUGACACUGAGACGCGAAAGCGUGGGGAGCGAACAGG